AUUGAACGCUGGCGGCAGGCCUAACACAUGCAAGUCGAGCGGAUGAAGGGAGCUUGCUCCUGGAUUCAGCGGCGGACGGGUGAGUAAUGCCUGGGAAUCUGCCUGGUAGUGGGGGAUAACGUCCGGAAACGGGCGCUAAUACCGCAUACGUCCUGAGGGAGAAAGUGGGGGAUCUUCGGACCUCACGCUAUCAGAUGAGCCUAGGUCGGAUUAGCUAGUUGGUGGGGUAAAGGCCUACCAAGGCGACGAUCCGUAACUGGUCUGAGAGGAUGAUCAGUCACACGGGAACUGAGAGACGGCCCAGACUCCGACGGGGGGCAGCAGGGGGAAAUUGUGGAGAAGGGGCAAAAGCCUGAUCAAACCAUGCCGGGGGGGGGAAGAAGGUCUUCGGAUUGAAAACAAUUUUAAUUUGGGAGGAAGGGAAGUAAGUUAAUACCUUGGUGUUUGGACUUUAAAAAAAAAAAAAGCCCCGGCUAACUUCGUG
rnacentral:rRNA from 1 species